UGGAUGACAAGGAGCCGAAGAGGUGGC
rnacentral:piRNA from 1 species